rnacentral:misc_RNA from 1 species
UUGGCUGUUGAGGAUGUAGUAAACCAAUUUAAACCCCCGGGUUUAUGGUUGAAUAUAGAGCAUGAUAUUUUCUAUACGCAACAUAAUUUGAGCAUGAGAAGCUAUCUACUUUCUGUAUCAAAGCGUGUUAUUGUGGACUAUGUCUCUUCCCCGGAAGUUGGUUUCCUUAGGGGUAUAGCACCGAGGUUUGCAAAAAGCAAGACAAAGCUCAUCUUUCGGUUUCUUGGGCAGAACAUCAUUGAGCCUUCUACAAACCAGUCUUAUGGUUCACUGUUGA